rnacentral:rRNA from 1 species
GCUUGUCUCAAAGAUUAAGCCAUGCAUGUCUAAGUAUAAACAAAUCUAUACUGUGAAACUGCGAAUGGCUCAUUAAAUCAGUUAUCGUUUAUUUGAUGGUCCCUUACUACAUGGAUAACCGUAGUAAUUCUAGAGCUAAUACAUGCACAAAGGCCCGACUCACGAAGGGGUGUAUUUAUUAGAUGGAAACCAAUGCGGGGCAACCCGGAUUAUGGUGAUUCAUAAUAACUUUCAGAUCGAUCGCAAGAUCGAUGCAUCAUUCAAGUUUCUGCCCUAUCAGCUUUGGAUGGUAGGGUAUUGGCCUACCAUGGCUUUAACGGGUAACGGAGAAUUAGGGUUCGAUUCCGGAGAGGGAGCCUGAGAAAUGGCUACCACAUCCAAGGAAGGCAGCAGG